GUUUGUGUGUGUAACGUGGAUGUGUCUUUGGGUGGGAAAGUUUUUAAUGCAGAGUUUACUGUCCUUCCUCGCUCCUCGCAUGACUUGAUUCUGGGGAUUGACUUUUUGCAAUUGUGUGGUGCGAAUGUUGACUGCCGGACGGGAGAACUCAGUGUCGACACCAGUGUUUCGCCUGUGCUCUUUGAAGGUGCAGCUUGCCCUGAGAGUGUGUUGUGCGUGUCUGAGGAUACAGUUGUGCCCGCCUUAUCCGCGAUGCGUGUUGCCGUCGCCUGUUCAUCUCCGACUCCUAUCUCGUUCGAUGCUGCAGUGGAACCUGUACAUCGGAA
rnacentral:lncRNA from 1 species